GUUGGAUAAAAUUUUUACAAUUUUAGCAUGAUUUUGCUUAGAAUUCAAUUGUGCAAUUAUCAUGCACAAUUCUUAGAUGAAUUGGGAAUAUAUACAAAAUUUGAAUGAUAAAUUUUGUUACUGCAAUUCUGCUUACAUUAUCGUAUAAGGCUAGGCAUGCACUAGAACUACCGGCACUGGUUUUUCCUGCUCGAAAUGCCAUCCACUGUAGUCUUACUGCCUGGCAAAAAGAGCAGGCUAUGCAUUCUUGUGACAAUCAACAGCCACUGGCAUAUGGCAAAUCAAUGAGACGAGCCGUAGCAUCUAUAAGAAUGCACCAAUCACUAUAAUAAAAUGGUUUCCAUCUUUGAAGAGCUGAAUUGUUAGCUCGUCUAUAAUA
rnacentral:lncRNA from 1 species